rnacentral:rRNA from 1 species
UUCUGGUUGAUCCUGCCGGAGGCUACCGCUAUUGGAGUUCGAUUAAGCCAUGUGAGUCGCGAGUCUUAGGGACUCGGCGUACCGCUCAGUAACACGUGGGUAACCUGCCCUAUGCUGGGGGAUAACCUCGGGAAACUGAGAAUAAUACCCCAUAGUUCACCACGCCUGGAACGGUGGGUGGAUGAAAGCUCCGGCGGCAUAGGAUGGGCCUGCGGCGUAUCAGGUUGUAGGGGGUGUAAUGUACCCUCUAGCCAUCUACGCGUACGGGUGUUGGGAGACAUCGCCCGGAGAUGGAUUCUGAGACACGAAUCCAGACCCUACGGGGUGCAGCAGGCGCGAAAACUUGGCAAUGCGAGAAAUCGUGACCAGGGAACUCCAAGUGCAUCGGGUAAGACCGAUGCUUUUCUUGACUCUUCAAAGGUCUUGGAAUAAGGGGUGGGUAAGGACGGUGCCAGCCGCCGCGGUAAUACCGGCGCCUCAAGUGGUAGUCGCUUUUAUUGGGCCUAAAACGUCCGUAGCCGGUUUGGUACAUUCGUGGGUAAAUCAAGGCGCUCAACGUCUUGAAUUCUGCGAGCACGGCCAGACUUGGGACCGGGUGAGGUGUGGGGUACUCUCAGGGUAGGGGUAAAAUCCUGUCAUCCUGAGAGGACCACCUGUUGCGAAGGCGCCACACUAGAACGGAUCCGACGGUCAGGGACGAAGCCUAGGGGCACGAACCGGAUUAGAUACCCGGGUAGUCCUAGGUGUAAACGCUGUGGACUUGAU